CUGUCCUUAAAUCUUUCAUCAUUUACGGCACUGGCAAAUGCAUUAAGCUGAGAGUGAAAAAUAUGUGCAGUGUUUACCAAGCCCUGAAUGUGUGCUCUGGCAUAAAGAGAGAGAGAGAGAGAUUGUGUGUGUGUGUGUAUGUCGGCAGCCACACAGGGCUCUCCUGCUGUUCCCAGUCUCUUCUUCCCGGCUGGAGCUUAGCCAUUCCAGAGGCCAUUGGGCAUCAAGCGCUCCUCUGAAGAUAUGCCAUUACUUACGGUAUGUGCAUACCUCGUUCAACUUGUAGGUCGGAUCCAAUCGGAGGGCAUUUCAGCUUUAUGACAAACAUUAACACCUUUCACUGGGCCACACCAGACACAAAAGCCCAGUGCUUCACCUACAUCUGUGAGAUCUUCUACAGUGAGGGGAAUUUCACGAGAAGGAAAAUAAACAGAUGCUAGAGACGGGCUGGAACUUUGACUCUCCAAUGGUGGAUGCACUUACUUUCCGGCACAUUCUGCGACAUGGCAAGAAGAUGCCAUUUAAGGCAUAUCAAAAUGAUGGUUUGUUUAUAAAUUCAAAUAGCAUUGGAUGUGACACCAGCACUCUCAUCAG